rnacentral:rRNA from 1 species
GAUGAACGCUGGCGGCGUGCCUAAUACAUGCAAGUCGAGCGAACAGACGAGGAGCUUGCUCCUUCGACGUUAGCGGCGGACGGGUGAGUAACACGUAGGUAACCAACCUAUAAGACUGGGAUAACUUCGGGAAACCGGAGCUAAUACCGGAUAAUAUUUCGAACCGCAUGGUUCGAUAGUGAAAGAUGGCUUUGCUAUCACUUAUAGAUGUACCUGCGCCGUAUUAGCUAGUUGGUAAGGUAACGGCUUACCAAGGCAACGAUACGUAGCCGACCUGAGAGGGUGAUCGGCCACACUGGAACUGAGACACGGUCCAGACUCCUACGGGAGGCAGCAGUAGGGAAUCUUCCGCAAUGGGCGAAAGCCUGACGGAGCAACGCCGCGUGAGUGAUGAAGGUCUUCGGAUCGUAAAACUCUGUUAUUAGGGAAGAACAAACGUGUAAGUAACUGUGCACGUCUUGACGGUACCUAAUCAGAAAGCCACGGCUAACUACGUG